CUCUUUUCCUUCCGAAGAGGGGGGGGGUAGGGAAGAAGGAGGUGGAAUGGGGAGGUAGGGGUCUACCGUUUCGCCGUUUCACGACCGUAGUGGUGGUGAGGCAGCGUAAAGGAUAGGGGGAUUCUAUAGAGCGUAUAGCCCCGCCCACCUUCGCCUUCUUCCCUUUCCUUUUUUCCAUUCCCCUACUUUUUUUUUUUUUUUGCCCUUGCGCUUAUCAACGAAAACCCCGCCGCUUGUGUUUUGUUUUUGUUUUUUUUUUUGGUUUUCGUCUUUUCUCAAUUUCUUUUUUCCCUCCCUGCCCCCUAAAAUCGAAAAAAAAAAGAAAAAAACCACGGGAUAAAUGGAUUUGUUAUCAUUUCGGUAUCAUCAUGGACGAGACAACUUUUUUCUCUACGUGAUACAAAAUAGACGCAAUUAAAGUAAAUUUAACCCCCGAAAUAAGUUUUCAUUAAAUCUUAUUUUGUGAUUUUUAAAACAAAGAAUUUGCGAUUUUUUUACUUUUAACGAGCAAAAUGAAACAGUUAAAACUUAAUUGCUAAUAGAUUCAUCCAUUCAUUUGAGGGGGGGGGGUAUCACGACGUGGUCGGCGUGAAUGAUUUAAUUUUUUUUUUCUGUACUUCUUCUUUCAACGGCCGUACAUAAAUUUAGACCCAACAACACACAAACAAGUUAUUAUUUUAUAUUUAUAUAUAUUUUUUUAAAUAUAUAACUGACAUGCGUUCACCAUCAAGAAGAUCCCAGACAGGAGGACAAAAAGAAAAAUAACCGGACCGGUGAAAAAAAAAAAAAGCAGUCGACCUUGAACGCCAUGAAAAUAGUUGGUGUGUUCCCAUGACCGGAUCAUCUUCCUCCAUUGUCCAAUGUCCAUAACAUUUUUAUUUUCUAAGAAAAAGAUGGACGUCUAAGACAAUUAUUUGGCACACAUUGACAUUGACAAACAAAAAUGGGUGGAUUUAUAAUGAAAAGAAAUCAAAACAUGUGGAAGCGAGUGAAAUCGAGAAAAUGUU